rnacentral:rRNA from 1 species
AACGAACGCCGGCGGCACGCCUAACACAUGCAAGUCGCACGAGAAAGUCCCCGCAAGGGGACCGGUAAAGUGGCAGACGGGUGAGUAACGCGUGGGUAACCUACCCUCGAGUGGGGGAUAACCCGCGAAAGCGGGCGUAAUACCGCAUAACAUCCCGGAACGCGAGUUUCGGGUAUCGAAGGUGGCUCGCAAGAGCUACCGCUCGGGGAGGGGCUCACGUUCCAUCAGCUAGUUGGUGGGGUAACGGCCUACCAAGGCGGUGACGGAUAGCUGGUCUGAGAGGACGACCAGCCACACUGGCACUGAGACACGGGCCAGACUCCUACGGGAGGCAGCAGUGAGGAAUCUUGCGCAAUGGACGAAAGUCUGACGCAGCGAUGCCGCGUGGGGA